UGGGGUUAGUAGAUACACAUUAGAAUUUAAUUAAGGCAUGAUAUCAAGCUCACCAAUUUCUGGAGUCUAUUUUCUUUCCUCAAUGAUCAUCCCCACUCCCUUUGUAAAUCAGGACAUUUAUUUCUCUCUGGAUAUCUGGCAGCUCUCCUAUUCUUCUUAAAUCUCCAGGGGAUAUCUGUGAAGACAGCUACCCAGUCACUCAUUUUGUCCAUCUAUUCCUCUUACCUCCUUUUCUGGAGCAUUACAGAAACCAGAGUAAGAAGGCUGGAGAACCCUUGAGGGUGAGCCUGUGACCCCACAUUCCCCAGAGAUUCCCAAGAGAACAGGAAUUGAGCUUGCUUCUCAGAGUCAUUGGACAAGAGUCAAGGGACAAGCAACAGAAGUAUCUCAGUGGCAGGACCCACUCGGGAGAGUUGGGGCGAGGCUGGCUGAGGUUCUCGAGGAGCUGAGUUUUGGGCUCAGGUGCCCGCCCGGCAGUGGAAUGAUGCUUCCCGACCUUUCAGACCUUUGAGACCUCUGCGCACUCUUAGAAAGCACUUCAAGCCUCCCGUUGGCACCCGGCUGCCCAGGGGAACCCCAGGGACAGGUGUCAGAGAGAUCGUGGCCCGAGAGGUGAUGGAUACCCGGAUGCACUCACGACAGCAUCUCAAAGAUUCCACGCCACUAGCUGCUCCCAAGCAUGAAGCCACCUUCCUGCAGAGGCGGCAGGAAACCAGCCUGGAGGAGGUUCUACUUUUUAUCUGGAGGAUGGACCAUCUUCUCAGGUGUCCUGAAUCUGCUGAAGGACCAUGAGGAGGAGGAGGUUGCGGGUCCCCAAGACAGAGCACAGCAGGUGGAACGGAGAAGCACCCAGAGCGGGACGCAAGCCCAGCACCCUUCAGACUGGAGCACCCUGAGCUGCGGUUCCUGAUUGGACUGUCUUUGCUUUGUCAUCACCCAAUUGACACCAGUUCUGGAUGCUUUUGAAUGGUUGGCUUUUUUUCCCCCCCUGUCUUUUCUUCUUUCUUCCUUGACCUUGGGGAUUGUAAGAGAAGAACUGCUUUGGAAAAUAUAAUUCUGUGGCUGAAAUUAGCCUUGUUUAUGAACCAAUUCUGUCCCUAGGGAUAUUUGAAUUGUCAUCCCAGAUUACCUAGUAAAUGGGGCUGCAUGGUUUGAUGUGUGUAGUACCGAUAUUUAGAUUAAAAAUACAUUUUCUUUCUUCCUUUUUUUCACAUCUGGAUCCAGGUAAUGGCCCGAGUCCCAUUUGCUUUGCUACUGAAGCGACAUCAGUGCGGCAACGCUUGGGGUUGAAAUAAAUCAAACAUAUAUUAUACCCGGGGCUCUUGCAUGCUAUUUGAGAUGUAUGAUACUCCACAAAGAAACACAAACCUUGUAGGUGGAAAUUUAAUUCCUAUCUGAUCCUGCAGCUAGAAUGGUGGAGAAAUUAUGGAUAUCAAAAGUGGCUUCAAAUACUUUGAAUGUAAACUAACCAGGAGUAGGUGGAUGCUUCUCUAAGGUAGAGCAGGGACCAGAGAUCACCUGCCCCGUCAACCGUGCCCCUUCUGGAGGAAUCUGAGAACAAGGCCCACUUCUGUGUUUGCGUUUGCGUAGCCUGUGGCGUUUCUGACUUGUGUUCUGUAACUGUGCGUGCCUCGCAAUAAAACACCUUCCACUGACUCAGCAACAAGGUCUCUGUCCAU